rnacentral:tRNA from 1 species
GCAGUGGUGGUUUAGCAGUAGAAUUCUCACUUUCCACGCAGUAGCCCUGGGUUUGAUUCCCAGCCGGUGCA